UUUAAUUGAUGAGUUUGAUCAUGGCUCAGAUUGAACGCAGGCGGUAGGUCUACCACAUGAAAGACGAGAGGCAGCACAGAGAAAAUUGAUUCUCAGGCGGCGAGCGGCGGACGGGUGAGAAACGCCAGGCAAAAUGCCCUGGUGGGGGAGAUCAGCAUUGGAA
rnacentral:rRNA from 1 species